rnacentral:rRNA from 1 species
UACGUAGGGUGCGAGCGUUGUCCGGAAUUAUUGGGCGUAAAGGGCUCGUAGGCGGUCUGUUGCGUCAGGAGUGAAAACUCGGGGCUUAACCCCGAGCCUGCUUCUGAUACGGGCAGACUAGAGGUAUGCAGGGGAGAACGGAAUUCCUGGUGUAGCGGUGAAAUGCGCAGAUAUCGGAAGGAACACCAGUGGCGAAAGCGGCUUCCUGGUCCAGCACCGACGUUCAGGCACGAAAGCGUGGGGAGCAAACAGG